rnacentral:rRNA from 1 species
CACAGAAGUUAAGCUCUUUAGCGCCGAUGGUACUUGGUGGGAAGCUGCCUGGGAGAGUAGGACGUAGCCACGUA